CUAGUACAGAGGUCAGGGAGGGUGCUGGCUGCCCAGAAACAAUUGUUGCUGGCGAUGGGAAUCACAGACCAGGGCCGCUACACACUGUGUCUGGGACACGCAUGCCCUUCCAGAUGCCAGACAAGAAUGGAAAUUCAAACUCAGGGCUUGAGGCUCAAGAGGCUGCAAGAUGCUAAAGCAGAGAAACAAGAGGGUGCUCCCACACCUCUUCACACUGAACAAAGGCAAAUCGUAGCUUCACGGAGGCUACUCUUUGAUUCCUUGGAUUCCUCUUCACACAACAAGAGAACCAUAUUUUCCUAACUGGGGCACAUCCUGUAGGCAGCUGGAUACUCUAGGAGAAAAGAUGUUCUAAGGGAACAAGUCCUGGA